GAAAAAGAUUAAAUGUUACAAGCCAUACAUGUCAUGCAAAUGGAACAGAUAGAGUUACAUUCACCAUCCAGCGCUGGGCCACACUUAGCUCGCCUUAUGGAUGCAACCAAGUGAGGCAAACAUUGUAGCACGAGUUUAGCUUUUAUUCUUCUCUGGCAAUCUGUACCCUCCCUAAAUGGUAGUCUAAUCAGUUUCAGUCUGUUUAUGUAUGACUGGCGACAGUCACACAUAAACAUGGUUAUGUAAGCUGCAGCGUGUGUGUAAGCAGAUAAAAUAGAUAGAGGAAAAUACAUAAUCCAUAACAAGAUGAAAGGUUAGUUAAGUACUUAGGAUCUUGUAAUUUGUUAGCAGAGGAACAGAGUGGGUUUAGACCAGGGUAGCCCAAACGUUUUGAGACCAAGAUCUUCUUUUUCUCUUAUCAGCCAGCUGAGAUCUACCUCAAGACAUGAAGACAUAAAAACUGUAAAUGAAACUCUAUUGAAUUAUUUUACAUGCAAAUAUACAUCAGUUAUAGCAGAAAUAUUAAAGUGAUAGAAAACCUAAUGCAGUAACUUCCUCAUUGAAAUUCUGACACUGGGAGGAGGUUACUGGUUUCUCAGAGUAAGAAGCAAACCUGAGGCCAGCAGGUGUCAGUCAGUUAUGAUAGAUCUGAAAUUUGGUUUGAUGACCUCAAAUGAGAAAUUUCAGACUGAUAGGAGGAACCAAAGAGCACAGUUAAGUUAAAAGUACAUCUUAUGAAGUUGCAACAUUUUUCCUCCAACAACAGGUUCCAGAGCCAGAUGUUGGACAGGAUUUUAUUUCAAUGUCCUUUGUGAAUGCUAGCUCCUCAUUUUCAACAGUGGAACUGUGCAGGUUGAAAAAGCUUGCCAUUUUGGAGAAAAUCUCAUCAGCAUCAAUAUUUCCAUUAAAUAAGAUAUGAAAAUAAAUAGUAUGUUUGAUAGAGGAAAAGCCUCUCAGACUCUGUGCUCUAAGCAAGAUGCCAGAAACAAUUAGAAAAUGUAUUUAAUUUCACAUAAUUCUUGUGGUAGGAGCCAUUUGCUUAUUAAAUACUUCAUGAAACAUAUUUGUCCUAUUUGAUGUUUGUUGUGAGUGACGUAUACUCACAAAAGAAUGAGUUAAUUAGUCCAAUUUUAUAGUUUAUUGAAUGUUCAGAAAUUACAGUGGCUGUAAUGCGCCACAGCAAAGGUAAAAUAACCUGAGUCAAAUAUUGUUGUGACCUGGAAUAUAUCUUUUGAGGUCGACGCCCGCCCUGUGGCGGGCAUGACGUCAUGCAUUUAAAAGACUUCUGUAUAAAAAAAAGACGCCAUGAGAAGUGUGCACUUCAUUUCUGUUGGACAGUAGAGACUUCAAACUUUGUAAAAGUAGUGUUUUUAUAUUGAUUUUGUUUUAUAUUUACUUCCAAAUAAAACCAGGAAUAUGAUCGAUCAUUUUAGCCAUAGCGUAGUGCGCAUUUUACGCAUGUUGAGUGCAAUCAGUAGUUGUUUUAUGACCAAAAAUAUUACUCUGCACAACGGAAAACUUAUCGUUGGUACAAGACUGUGCUUAUGCAUUUGGUUGACAUUGCCACAGCAAAUGCCUACAUCCUACACCAAGAGUUGUGCAAAGCCAAAGGAGUGAAGCCCAUGACACACAAAGACUUCAAUGUGGAGAUGGCCAGUCAGCUUUGUAGUGUGGACAUGGCAGGUGUUCCAAGGAGAAAGGCAGCUGAACACAUUCCUGUGCCCAUUAGUGCUCAGCAAAAUGCCAGAAACGGCAGACUGCAGUGCAGACACUGCCUCCGGGUGAACAAAGUCAGGAAGGACACGCAAUGGAAAUGUGAAGGCUGUGAUGUGCCAUUGUGCCUUCUGAUUGACAGAAACUGCUUUGCACAGUGGCACAAGUAAUUUGUUUUGUCUUGUGGCACCCAUUUUGCAAAUAUUGUAAAUAGUUGUAAAAAAAACGCCUGGGAAAUUACCCACAAUAUGGUGAAAAUAUGACUAGUAAUUUGUUUUUUACUAAGUUUGUACAAAAGUUCUUAAAAUUUACCCAAAAACUUUUCAUGUUAGGCUGUAAAAAUGGUUUGUUCAACAUUUUUGUGAAUAUUAUAGUAAAAAUAUCAAUAUUUUUUCUACUCGGA